rnacentral:rRNA from 1 species
GGGGAAUCUUGCGCAAUGGACGAAAGUCUGACGCAGCAACGCCGCGUGAGUGAAGAAGGCCUUCGGGUUAUAAAGCUCUGUCGCCCGGGACGAAAAUGCUUUAGGUGAAUAGCCUAAGGAACUGACGGUACCGGGAGAGGAAGCACCGGCUAACUCCGUGCCAGCAGCCGCGGUAAUACGGAGGGUGCAAGCGUUGCUCGGAAUUAUUGGGCGUAAAGGGUAGGUAGGUGGUCUCGUUUGUCUGGGGUGAAAGCCUUGAGCUUAACUCAAGAAGUGCCCCAGAAACGGCGAGACUAGAGUUCUGGAGAGGGUCGUGGAAUUCCCGGUGUAGCGGUGAAAUGCGUAGAGAUCGGGAGGAACACCAGAGGCGAAGGCGGCGACCUGGACAGAUACUGACACUCAACUACGAAAGCGUGGGGAGCAAAA